UCCUGAGAUAGCUCAGUCGGUAGAGCAUGAGACUCUUAAUCUCUUGGUCGUGAGUUCGAAUCCCACAUUGGGCA